rnacentral:rRNA from 1 species
GUGGGGAAUAUUGGACAAUGGGGGGAACCCUGAUCUAGCCAUGCCGCGUGAGCGAUGAAGGCCUUAGGGUUGUAAAGCUCUUUCGUGGGGGAAGAUAAUGACUGUACCCCAAGAAGAAGCCCCGGCUAACUCCGUGCCAGCAGCCGCGGUAAUACGGAGGGGGCUAGCGUUGUUCGGAAUUACUGGGCGUAAAGCGCACGUAGGCGGACUGGAAAGUCAGGGGUGAAAUCCCGGGGCUCAACCCCGGAACUGCCUUUGAAACUCCCAGUCUUGAGUUCGAGAGAGGUGAGUGGAAUUCCGAGUGUAGAGGUGAAAUUCGUAGAUAUUCGGAGGAACACCAGUGGCGAAGGCGGCUCACUGGCUCGAUACUGACGCUGAGGUGCGAAAGCGUGGGGAGCAAACAGGAUUAGAAACCCUAGUAGUCC